rnacentral:rRNA from 1 species
GACGAACGCUGGCGGCAUGCCUCAUACAUGCAAGUCGAGGGGUAACACUUCGGGUGACGACCGGCGAACGGGUGAGUAACGCGUGGGAAUCUGCCUUAGACUGUGGGACAACCUGAGGAAACUUGGGCUAAUACCGCAUAUUGCCGAAAGGUGAAAGAUUUAUCGGUCUAAGAUGAGCCUGCGUAUGAUUAGCUUGUUGGUGGGGUAAAAGCCUACCAAGGCGACGAUCAUUAGCUGGUUUGAGAGGAUGACCAGCCACAAUGGAACUGACACACGGUCCAUACUUCUACGGAAAGCAGCAGUAGGGAAUUUUGCGCAAUGGGCGAAAGCCUGACGCAGCAAUGCCGCGUGUAGGAAGAAGCAUCUUGGUGUGUAAACUACUGUCAGUGGGGAAUAAACAAAUGAAUGUACCCACAGAGGAAGCACCGGCUAACUACGUGCCAGCCGCCGCCGUAACAC